rnacentral:tRNA from 3 species
GUGAAAGUCAUCUAACGGUUAAGAUAUUGGAUUGUGACUCCAAGUAUGCCAGUUCGACUCUGGUCUUUCACCCCA